GUUGUCAUCACUUAUGGAGGGACUACUCUGACAGAAACCCAGAAGGACAAAGAAGCCCACUAUUUUGCAGGAGGCAGCUGAGGACAACCUGAGGCCUCCUGUGUUGGAUGAAGAGGGCUAAUUCUUCUGGCUUAAAGACAUAGUGCAAUAGGGACAGCUAUUCAGUGACAAGUUUCAUGAGAUCCUUUCUGCACUGUUCUCCCUGUCUGGAAAAGCCACCAGCUGGUAAUGCUAUAGUCAAGCAGUCAUUCUACAUAGCCACACCUAGUGAUGUGAUCAUUGGUAGCCUCACCUGGUUUGAAUUUCCAAAACACACUUCUGGAAAAGUAAGGGGUCUGAGUUACAGAUCCAGGGUGUAGGAAAAAUCCCCCUGAAAACUGUAUCUUAGACCCCGGUGGCCAGAGAUGCAGGCGUAGUAGAAAAGCAUGAUUUGGUCUUUUCAUGGGAGCCCAGCCCAGACCCAGACGAAGCUCCUGUUCUAAGGGCCAUGAUUGAAAUUCCUCGUGGAAAGUCUGUCUUUGAGACACCAAGACACCUCAUUUAAUUCCCAUUUCCUUUUUAAGUCAGGUCCCUCCUUCCUGAGAACCACAUUUAAAGUUGCUAGCUGGCUUUCCUUCUGUUUUUGCUAUUUGUGUGCCAACUUCAAGGGUGGGGAGAGCCACGUUAAUUUAAAAAUAUAGCACAAAUAGCAAAACGAGGCUUGAUUUAAGGUAAAAACCACAGAAAGGGUUUUCCCCUUCCCUUCUGUGUUUUUCAGACUUUCCUAGAUCCACUAUUAAUUCUUCAGAGCCCAGACAUAGAAAGUGAUUGAGGCACACUGGAUGCUCUUCCAGACUAAAACAAAAAGCCUCCAGUGGACUCUCUCAUUGCCCCUUCAGACUUUAUUUUAAAGAGGGCUUAAGAAAGCUGGCCAAACUCCAUUCAUGGUAGGAUCUUGCUAAGCACCCUAGAUUUGGUGUUAUAAACUACCCUUUUGGAUCAGUUGUCCACUUGGGCAUCUUGGUUUUGGGAAUGUGGCUUUAAGAGUAGAGUUCCUAGAUCAAAUCCUGGCCUCAUUAUUUAUUAGUUUUCUGACUUUACAUCAAUGGGAAUCAUGAUUCACAAUGUUCAGUCCAUAGUGAGUCAAGGUCUAAAAAGAGCCUGGAGCAAAAGGAGCGACCAAUAGGCGGUGGCUAUUAUGAAAAUAGACCGUUUCAUCUGUCGGCUCCCUCUUUAGUCUCCAUUUCCGGUUUUGGAAAGGAAAGAAAAUUCGUUAUCUAUUUCAAGUGGAGGAUCUACCUCCAUUUUAAAUCACUCAGGGACUCACCAGAAGGGGAGGCCAGACCGCACUGAAUUUGCAAUACCCAGGCCUUUAAACCGAAUGGAAGCCCCAUUCUUGCCACUUAACAGAACACGGGCGAGCAGAUUGGGACUUGGGAAGCCUCGAAGGGAUAGCAAUUGCUCAGUCUAAAGACACAGGUCUAAGAUACGUGGGUGGGGGAAUUCACCUGAAGAAGGAAAGCCUCUGCAAGUGUUUGUAGGCAGAGCUGACAGUAGUGAAACUCCAUGCGCGUGCGGCAGCGCCCUCUGCCGGCCUCGGGGAGGGCAAAUCUGGAGCCUGGCCCCACGGCUGGUCAAAUGGGACUCCGGAUCCUUUCUGCUGCCUCCGCCCCCGCUCCGUCCCUUCCCGUGAUCGCGCAGCCUGGUCUGGGACUGGAUUCCAGGAGAGGCGUCCCCAUCCUACGCCUGAAGGCAGAGCAAGGACGCUGCUCUAAAACACCCGGUUCAUCAGCAGAGCGGAGGCUGCAGGAACCUACCCAAACCCACCUGGGGCUGCUUUUGCCUCCCGGAAACCCGGGCAGAAGCCUGCGGGGCGGUCGGAGGUGGUUUGGAAGUGGCAUCGCCUAUGGCCAAGACCGAGGGUUCUGCGGACAGAGAGGAGCCCUGGGUUCGCUUUCUGCCUCAUCCAGCUAGGUGACCUUGGGCAAGAGAAGUCAUUAGGCCCAGCUUCAACUCACUGAGAAGGACCUCACAAGGCUUCGAAUGCCAGGUGGCAGGGCUCCUUGGGGACCAUUUUAGGGUUUCCCCAUGGGUGCCUUUUCUUCUGGAUCAUCCACAUCUUCUCUGCAUCUUGCCUGUUCUCCUCACUUCCUUACCCUCCAAAUAGGAUUACUUUAUGAACUUGGCCCUCAUGUAGCCCAGGCUGGCUUGGAAGUCACUAAGUAGCAGAGGCUGACCUUGAACUGCCUUUACCUCUCAAGUGCUAGGAUUACAGAAGCACAUCCCUGCAAUCCUAAAGCACACCCAACUCUGCCCUCUUUAAGUGCAGUCAUCACUCUGAGAAACAUCAAGAUGAAGUUGGAAAGCUCUGAUGUGAGGAUGGUCAUUCUCAGUUCCCAGGUUCUGCCAGUGGGGACCAGAACAGAAUCACUGCUGGGGAGACCACGGUUCCCCAAGUCUGGCUGGGCUGCGAAAGCUGUCCUUGUCUGAGGUCCUGCUCUGGAUGAUGAUGUAUGCCCUGCUGCUCAUGGGUGGGGGGCCAUGAACUGCAGUUAAAGGACAUAGUUUUAAAUCUCAUUUAAACAUUUCUCAAGUCAGAAA
ensembl:lncRNA